rnacentral:rRNA from 1 species
CCUACGGGGGGCAGCAGUGAGGAAUAUUGGUCAAUGGUCGGGAGACUGAACCAGCCAAGCCGCGUGAGGGAUGAAGGUACAGAGUAUCGUAAACCUCUUUUGUCAGGGAACAAAGGCGGGGACGUGUCCCCGGAUGAGUGUACCUGAAGAAAAAGCAUCGGCUAACUCCGUGCCAGAAGCCGCGGUAAUACGGAGGAUGCGGGCGUUAUCCGGAUUUAUUGGGGUUAAAGGGUGCGCAGGCGGUCUGUUAAGUCAGGGGUGAAAGGCCGGGGCUCAACCCCGGCCCGGCCGUUGAAACUGGCAGUCUGGAGUUGGAGAGAGGUAUGCGGAAUGCGCGGUGUAGCGGUGAAAUGCAUAGAUAUCGCGCAGAACUCCGAUUGCGAAGGCAGCAUGCCGGCUCCACACUGACGCUGAGGCACGAAAGCGUGGGUAUCGAACAGGAUUAGAUACCCGAGUAGUC